CCCAGUUGUCCCCCUGCGCCUAGGGGAGAGCUACCCACUGUGGAGUUUGUCCUGGAUGGAUGCCUGCUCAAGGAACAGGGGCAUCAGCUGAUGAAGUGGUUGGCCGCUUGUGUAGAAGGCUGACAUCCCGUCUUGCUCCUAUCAGUCUUAUCAGUGAUAUCCCACCAGCUCCUGGGAAUUCAGCACCAUGUUUGGCUCCCAAGCCUCCUGAGCCCUUCAUUUCCAAGCUGCAGAACCUCCCUCACAUCCACCUAAAAUCAGGUUUAUUUUGGGAGAAGAAAGUAAUGCUCACAGGCAUCACAGCACCAGCUUCUGGAGAGCCAAAUCAUUUCCACGGCUCCUGUUACCUCUUUGAGAGGAGCAAGAAGGAGGAGGAUUGCUGCGGGGAGAGUGGUGUUAGAGACAAGGCAUGUUGUUAGCUGUUUUCCUCAAAAUUUCAAAGCUUCCCCACUAAAACUGCCUAAAGAAAUCAUCUCACAGUGAUGCCAAGACUUCCUGAAUAGUGGCAACUCACCUGCCUCAGCCUACCUUUCCUUCUGCAGACUUUCAGGCAGCAUAUUGGUCAGCUUAUACCAUGGUCCUUACUCAAGAAAGACUUGCACCUUUUAAAUGCAUGAAGUAAACACUUCUAGAUUUGGUCACCGGUUAUGGAUCCUCCCCCUGCCCCAAACUCUUACUGUACAGAUGCUUCUCUGGGAUGCAUUAUGGUGCUGGCCAUAGCAUAAAACUGAAAAAGUGAGUGUUGGUGUCUCAAUCAGUUUGUCCCAAAUAGGAUUUUUUUUUUUUUUCGGUCGGUCUGUUGGCCUCUUGGCUUUGACUGGUCUGCUGGCUUCCACAGAGGAGAAAUCUUACUGUGAGAUAGAGCAAGUGCAGAAAGUCCCAGUAGCUGCUGUCCCAUGUUAACAGGGCAUGCCUGGAAGAAGGGCACAGAGCGUUGGGCCUGUGAGCAGGUGGAGCUAUAGGGGGUGUAAACAGUAAGUCAUACGGAGGGAAUAAAGCCAUAUUUGCCCACA
rnacentral:lncRNA from 1 species